CGGUACCCUAACCGUGCAAAGGUAGCGCAAUCACUUGUUCUUUAAAUGAGGACUAGUAUGAAUGGCAUCACGAGGGUUAUACUGUCUCCCCCACCUAAUCAGUGAAACUGAUCUUCCCGUGAAGAAGCGGGAAUAGAAUUAUAAGACGAGAAGACCCCAUGGAGCUUUAAACUCAACAUCAACUGCCCUCUAAAUAACUUAUUAACCACGCAGAUCUGACAGUUAGUUUUCGGUUGGGGUGACCGCGGAGUAAAACAAAACCUCCACGAUGAAAGGAAUUAACCUCCUAAUCUAAGAGCUACAGCUCUAAGAAUCAACAAAUUGACAAAACUUGAUCCAAAUACUUUGAUCAACGAACCAAGUUACCCUGGGGAUAACAGCGCAAUCCAUUUCAAGAGCUCAUAUCGACAAAUGGGUUUACGACCUCGAUGUUGGAUCAGGGUAUCCCAGUGGCGCAGCCGCUA
rnacentral:rRNA from 1 species